UGGCUCAGGACGAACGCUGGCGGCGUGCCUAAUACAUGCAAGUCGAGCGGACAGAAGGGAGCUUGCUCCCGGAUGUUAGCGGCGGACGGGUGAGUAACACGUGGGUAACCUGCCUGUAAGACUGGGAUAACUCCGGGAAACCGGAGCUAAUACCGGAUAGUUCCUUGAACCGCAUGGUUCAAGGAUGAAAGACGGUUUCGGCUGUCACUUACAGAUGGACCCGCGGCGCAUUAGCUAGUUGGUGAGGUAACGGCUCACCAAGGCGACGAUGCGUAGCCGACCUGAGAGGGUGAUCGGCCACACUGGGACUGAGACACGGCCCAGACUCCUACGGGAGGCAGCAGUAGGGAAUCUUCCGCAAUGGACGAAAGUCUGACGGAGCAACGCCGCGUGAGUGAUGAAGGUUUUCGGAUCGUAAAGCUCUGUUGUUAGGGAAGAACAAGUGCAAGAGUAACUGCUUGCACCUUGACGGUACCUAACCAGAAAGCCACGGCUAACUACGUGCCAGCAGCCGCGGUAAUACGUAGGUGGCAAGCGUUGUCCGGAAUUAUUGGGCGUAAAGGGCUCGCAGGCGGUUUCUUAAGUCUGAUGUGAAAGCCCCCGGCUCAACCGGGGAGGGUCAUUGGAAACUGGGAAACUUGAGUGCAGAAGAGGAGAGUGGAAUUCCACGUGUAGCGGUGAAAUGCGUAGAGAUGUGGAGGAACACCAGUGGCGAAGGCGACUCUCUGGUCUGUAACUGACGCUGAGGAGCGAAAGCGUGGGGAGCGAACAGGAUUAGAUACCCUGGUAGUCCACGCCGUAAACGAUGAGUGCUAAGUGUUAGGGGGUUUCCGCCCCUUAGUGCUGCAGCUAACGCAUUAAGCACUCCGCCUGGGGAGUACGGUCGCAAGACUGAAACUCAAAGGAAUUGACGGGGGCCCGCACAAGCGGUGGAGCAUGUGGUUUAAUUCGAAGCAACGCGAAGAACCUUACCAGGUCUUGACAUCCUCUGACAACCCUAGAGAUAGGGCUUUCCCUUCGGGGACAGAGUGACAGGUGGUGCAUGGUUGUCGUCAGCUCGUGUCGUGAGAUGUUGGGUUAAGUCCCGCAACGAGCGCAACCCUUGAUCUUAGUUGCCAGCAUU
rnacentral:rRNA from 1 species